rnacentral:rRNA from 1 species
GUGGGGAAUUUUGGACAAUGGGCGCAAGCCUGAUCCAGCAAUGCCGCGUGCAGGAAGAAGGCCUUCGGGUUGUAAACUGCUUUUGUACGGAACGAAACGGUCCUGGUUAAUACCUGGGGCUAAUGACGGUACCGUAAGAAUAAGCACCGGCUAACUACGUGCCAGCAGCCGCGGUAAUACGUAGGGUGCAAGCGUUAAUCGGAAUUACUGGGCGUAAAGCGUGCGCAGGCGGUUUUGUAAGACAGGCGUGAAAUCCCCGGGCUCAGCCUGGGAAUUGCGCUUGUGACUGCAAGGCUGGAGUGCGGCAGAGGGGGAUGGAAUUCCGCGUGUAGCAGUGAAAUGCGUAGAUAUGCGGAGGAACACCGAUGGCGAAGGCAAUCCCCUGGGCCUGCACUGACGCUCAUGCACGAAAGCGUGGGGAGCAAACAGGAUUAGAUACCCUUGUAGUCC